UCAGGGAGGAAUAAAAAGACGUGUACCCGAAGAAUAAGCAUCGGCUAACUCCGUGCCAGCACCCGCGGUAAGACGGAGGAGGCAAGAGUUAUCUCGAAUCACUGGGGGUAAAGCGUCUGUAGGUGGUUUAAUAAGUCACCUGUUAAAUCUUGAUGGCUCAACCUCAAAAUCGCAGUCGAAACUAUUAGACUAGAGUAUAGUAGAGGUAAAGGGAAUUUCCAGUGGAGCGGUGAAAUGCGUAGAUAUUGG
rnacentral:rRNA from 1 species